AAAACUUGAGAUGACUCGGCGUUCUUUUUUCACUGGCUGGAAAACAGGCUCAGGAAACCUGGAGACCUUAUGCUGUUUGUUAAGGAUUUGAUUGAGCCAGUUACAAGCCUGUGGAAGAGAGGUUCCAUGGCUAAGGAAAUGAAUCCUGAGAAUGAAAGGAUGUGUUGGAGGGGUUGGCACUGGCUUACAAACUAUCUGGUGCUAAAGGAGAAACUCCAACCUUCACCCUGUUGCAGAGGGGGCAGACAAUGGCACACUUGA
rnacentral:lncRNA from 1 species